rnacentral:rRNA from 1 species
CUACGGGUCGCUGCAGUGGGGAAUAUUGCACAAUGGGCGCAAGCCUGAUGCUGCCAUGCCGCGUGUAUGAAGAAGGCCUUCGGGUUGUAAAGUACUUUCAGCGGGGAGGAAGGGAGUAAAGUUAAUACCUUUGCUCAUUGACGUUACCCGCAGAAGAAGCACCGGCUAACUCCGUGCCAGCAGCCGCGGUAAUACGGAGGGUGCAAGCGUUAAUCGGAAUUACUGGGCGUAAGGCGCACGCAGGCGGUUUGUUAAGUCAGAUGUGAAAUCCCCGGGCUCAACCUGGGAACUGCAUCUGAUACUGGCAAGCUUGAGUCUCGUAGAGGGGGGUAGAAUUCCAGGUGUAGCGGUGAAAUGCGUAGAGAUCUGGAGGAAUACCGGUGGCGAAGGCGGCCCCCUGGACGAAGACUGACGCUCAGGUGCGAAAGCGUGGGGAGCAAACAGGAUUAGAUACCCCCGUAGUC